GUGCUCGCUUCGGCAGCACAUAUAUUAAAAUUGGAACGAUACAGAGAAGAUUAGCAUGUCCCCUGCGCAAGGAUGACACGCAAAUUCUUAGGCUUGGCCUAAAUAGCC